GAACGAAACUUCUUUAUCACCGAGUGCUUGCACUCACCGAUAAACAGUUGAGUGGCGAACGGGUGAGUAACACGUGGGCAACCUGCCCAAAAGAGGGGGAUAACACUUGGAAACAGGUGCUAAUACCGCAUAACCAUAGUUACCGCAUGGUAACUAUGUAAAAGGUGGCUAUGCUACCGCUUUUGGAUGGGCCCGCGGCGCAUUAGCUAGUUGGUGGGGUAAAGGCUUACCAAGGCAAUGAUGCGUAGCCGAACUGAGAGGUUGAUCGGCCACAUUGGGACUGAGACACGGCCCAAACUUAUACGGGAGGCAGCAGUAGGGAAUCUUCCACAAUGGGCGAAAGCCUGAUGGAGCAACGCCGCGUGGGUGAAGAAGGUCUUCGGAUCGUAAAACCCUGUUGUUAGAGAAGAAAGUGCGUGAGAGUAACUGUUCACGUUUCGACGGUAUCUAACCAGAAAGCCACGGCUAACUACGUGCCAGCAGCCGCGGUAAUACGUAGGUGGCUAGCGUUAUCCGGAUUUAUUGGGCGUAAAGGGAACGCAGGCGGUCUUUUAAGUCUGAUGUGAAAGCCUUCGGCUUAACCGGAGUAGUGCAUUGGAAACUGGGAGACUUGAGUGCAGAAGAGGAGAGUGGAACUCCAUGUGUAGCGGUGAAAUGCGUAGAUAUAUGGAAGAACACCAGUGGCGAAAGCGGCUCUCUGGUCUGUAACUGACGCUGAGGUUCGAAAGCGUGGGUAGCAAACAGGAUUAGAUACCCUGGUAGUCCACGCCGUAAACGAUGAAUGCUAAGUGUUGGAGGGUUUCCGCCCUUC
rnacentral:rRNA from 1 species